rnacentral:misc_RNA from 1 species
GAUGAAGAACGUAGCGAAAUGCGAUAACUAAUGUGAAUUGCAGAAUUCCGUGAAUCAUCGAGUCUUUGAACGCACAUUGCGCCCUCUGGUAUUCCGGAGGGCAUGCCUGUCCGAGCGUCAUUGCUGCCCUCAAGCACGGCUUGUGUGUUGGGCCCCGCCCCCCGAUCCCGGGGGGCGGGCCCGAAAGGCAGCGGCGGCACCGCGUCCGGUCCUCGAGCGUAUGGGGCUUUGUCACCCGCUCUGUAGGCCCGGCCGGCGCCUGCCGAUCAACCAAACUUUUUUCCAGGUUGACCUCGGAUCAGGUAGGGAUACCCGCUGAACUUAAGCAUAUCAAUAAGCGGAGGA